UACGUAGGGGGCAAGCGUUUGUCCGGAAUCAUUGGGCGUAAAGCGCGCGUAGGCGGCCCGGUAAGUCCGUUGUGAAAGUCAAAGGCUCAACCUUUGAACGCCGAUGGAUACUGCCGGGCUAGAGUCCCGGAAGAGGCGAGUGGAAUUCCCGGUGUAGCGGUGGAAAUGCGCAGAUAUCGGGAAGAACACCCUGUGGCGAAGGCGGCUCUCUGGGGACGGUACUGACGCUGAGACGCGAAAGCGUGGGGAGCAAACAGG
rnacentral:rRNA from 1 species